UAUGAAAAGUCCAAUGUGGAAAGAAAAAAAAAAAGGGGUGAUCUCACCACACACACCCUGAGACACAGUGGUGUUAGAAAUUAUGAAUGUGAGGAGUGUGGCAAGAAAUUCUUAACCAUUGGUGAUCUCAACAGCCACGCCUUCAGACACACUGGCUUGAGGGAAUUCAAGUGUGAUGUUUGUGGCAAGUGUUUCAAGACAAAGGAUGACAUUGCCAAGCAUGUGAAGAUCCACUUUUGAGGUGAUGUGUUGUGUGGACCGGUGGGGCUACAGCCGUGCCUGUGGAAGUGUGUGGUGGUGGUGGUGGGCUGUUGUUUCUUUUCCUUUCUUCUCUCCCAUUGCCUCCUCCCAAUCUUGGCCUGACCUUCCAGCCUUUGCUCCUCAGCACAGCCAGGUGAAGCACGCCUUCAGUGGGAAGCAGUCUCCUGAGGGUAUCACCAAGGCUCUCCAUCUCCAGCAGGACGUGGUGGGGGUCAAGAUGGCAGGCAAGCAAGACGUUGGUGUGUGUUGGAUGCCUGCGUGACUCCAUGCUACGCUGGCCUGCCACACCACAGGAUACAUUGAUGAUAGUGGCACCUCAGCAGACACUACACUGUUGUCAUGUGUGGCAGUGCCUGUAAGGACAGCACACCCCUGUGGUCUGCUAUUGUAAGGAGUGUGUUUGUUGUAUACUGGGAUACAAGGUAGAAGGAAGCAGUCUACACCUAGUUUUGUACUUGUUGUAUUGUGAGGGGUGUGUAUGUACUUUGUGUAUUGUGGGUUGUAAGACAAAGUAGUAGUAGUUUACACUUAGCCUUGUGUAUCUUAUGAGGGGUGUGUACUUUGUUGUAUUGGAGUUUACAGGCAGUGUUGUAUGUACUGUGUUUGUGUUGUGAGGUGUAAGGAGAGGCAGACACUUGUAGUGUGUGUGUGUGAGUGAGUGAGUGAGUGAGUGAGUGAGUGAGUGAGUCCCUUGAUCAAAUCACUGCCUGGAGUUUCAUUAGGCAACUGGUGUUUGUGUAAUUGUAAAGUAUCUUUUUAUCUCUAUAACCAUUAACCAGUGCUGCUUUAAUGAUAUUUUUGACAUAAUUGGUUUACAUCUUAAGUUAGUGUGUCUCUCAUAAUAUUUUUAGCUACAUGUAUUUACAGUCUAAAAUGUCUGUUUCAUUAGAUUGAGUAGUGUAACAAUGUCAGUGAGGCAUAUCUGAGCACUAGUUAACCCCUUCAGUACUGGGACACAUUUUUACCCUUAGUUUUGGGUAUGAUUAGACAGUUUUGUUAACAUUAGGAAUGGUCUAUGAAGGCCAGAAGAUUAAUAGCGACAGUCUUCUUUAUUUUAAUCCCCACAUAAGUUUCUGUAGCUGUAUAAAAUCACCAAAUAGUAAGCAGAAUGAAUAUGGAAAUGUUUUGUGGUACUGAAGAGGUUAAUUAAGUGUACCUGUGUGUGAUGACUGAUUCCUUCCAAGGCACCUGUAGAUCUGACUGUACCUACUGAGAUGUGAAGUUGUGACUAAUGUAUUGUUGUUCACCA
rnacentral:lncRNA from 1 species